rnacentral:rRNA from 1 species
GUCUAAGUAUAAGCAACUAUACGGUGAAACUGCGAAUGGCUCAUUAAAUCAGUUAUCGUUUAUUUGAUAGUACCUUACUACAUGGAUACCUGUGGUAAUUCUAGAGCUAAUACAUGCUAAAAACCCCGACUUCGGAAGGGGUGUAUUUAUUAGAUAAAAAACCAAUGCCCUUCGGGGCUCCUUGGUGAAUCAUAAUAACUUAACGAAUCGCAUGGCCUUGCGCCGGCGAUGGUUCAUUCAAAUUUCUGCCCUAUCAACUUUCGAUGGUAGGAUAGUGGCCUACCAUGGUGGCAACGGGUAACGGGGAAUUAGGGUUCUAUUCCGGAGAGGGAGCCUGAGAAACGGCUACCACAUCCAAGGAAGGCAGCAGGCGCGCAAAUUACCCAAUCCCGAUACGGGGAGGUAGUGACAAUAAAUACUGAUACAGGGCUCUUUUGGGUCUUGUAAUUGGAAUGAGUACAAUUUAAAUCCCUUAACGAGGAACAAUUGGAGGGCAGU